CGGUAAAACGUAGGAGGCGAGCGUUAUCCGGAUUCACUGGGCGUAAAGCGCGUGCAGGCGGUCUGGUAAGUUGGGCGUGAAAGCUCCCGGCUCAACUGGGAGAGGUCGUUCAAGACUGCCAGACUAGAGAGCGGUAGAGGAAAAUGGAAUUCCCGGUGUAGUGGUGAAAUGCGUAGAUAUCGGGAGGAACACCAGUGGCGAAGGCGAUUUUCUGGACCGUUUCUGACGCUCAGACGCGAAAGCUAGGGUAGCAAACGGGAUUAGAGACCCCGGUAGUCCUAGCCGUAAACGAUGUGAACUUGGCGUUGGUGGCUUAAACUCCAUCAGUGCCGUAGCUAACGCGAUAGGUUCACCGCCUGGGGACUACGACCGCAAGGUUAAAACUCAAAGGAAUUGACGGGGACCCGCACAAGCAGCGGAGCGUGUGGUUUAAUUCGAUGCUACACGAAGAACCUUACCCGGGCUUGACAUGACGAUGAACGAUUGCGAAAGCAUGAGGCUCCCGCAAGGGACAUCGCCACAGGUGUUGCAUGGCUGUCGUCAGCUCGUGUCGUGAGAUGUUCGGUUAAGUCCGCUAACGAGCGCAACCCUCGCUGUAUGUUAUACGUGUCAUACAGGACCGCCGGUAUCAAGCCGGAGGAAGGUGGGGAUGACGUCAAGUCAGCAUGGCCUUUAUGUCCGGGGCUACACACACGCUACAAUGGCCGGUACAAUGGGUUGCCAAACCGCGAGGUGGAGCCAAUCCCCCAAAACCGGUCUCAGUUCAGAUUGCAGGCUGCAACUCGCCUGCAUGAAGCCGGAGUUGCUAGUAAACGCGCGUCAGCUAUAGUGCGUUGAAUACGUUCUCGGG
rnacentral:rRNA from 1 species